rnacentral:rRNA from 1 species
AGUGAACGCUGGCGGUAGGCCUAACACAUGCAAGUCGAACGGCAGCACAGUAAGAGCUUGCUCUUACGGGUGGCGAGUGGCGGACGGGUGAGGAAUACAUCGGAAUCUACUUUUUCGUGGGGGAUAACGUAGGGAAACUUACGCUAAUACCGCAUACGACCUACGGGUGAAAGCAGGGGAUCUUCGGACCUUGCGCGAUUGAAUGAGCCGAUGUCGGAUUAGCUAGUUGGCGGGGUAAAGGCCCACCAAGGCGACGAUCCGUAGCUGGUCCGAAAGGAUGAUCAGCCACACUGGAACUGAGACACGGUCCAGACUCCUACGGUAGGCAGCAGUGGGGAAUAUUGGACAAUGGGCGCAAGCCUGAUCCAGCCAUACCGCGUGGGUGAAGAAGGCCUUCGGGUUGUAAAGCCCUUUUGUUGGGAAAGAAAAGCAGCAGGUUAAUACCCCGCUGUUCUGACGGUACCCAAAGAAUAAGCACCGGCUAACUUCGUG